rnacentral:rRNA from 2 species
GACGAGUCUGACGAACGUUAUUCGGAAUUACUGGGCUUAAAGGGUGCGUAGGCGGUGGAGUAAGUCGGAUGUGAAAUACCUUAGCUCAACUAAGGAACUGCACUCGAUACUACUUUGCUAGAGUAAGACAGAGGUGAGUGGAACUGAGGGUGGAGCGGUGAAAUGCGUUGAUAUCCUCAGGAACACCGGUGGCGAAGGCGACUCACUGGGUCUUUACUGACGCUGAUGCACGAAAGCUAGGGUAGCAAACGGG